rnacentral:rRNA from 1 species
GAUUAACGUUGGCGGUGCGUCUAAUACAUGCAAGUCGAGCGACACUUCGGUGGAGCGGCGGACGGCUGAGUAACACGUUGGUAGCUACCCCCUACUCAGGGAUAACAUCGAGAAAUUGGUGCUAAUACCGGAUAGUCCCGUAAGGGUAAAGAUUUUUCGGUAGGGGAGGCGCCUGCGGCCUAUCAGCUUGUUGGUGAGGUAAUGGCUUACCAAGGCUAUGACGGGUAGCUGGUCUGAGAGGAUGAUCAGCCAGAGGGAGACUGAGACACGGCUCCCACUCCUACGGGAGGCAGCAGUAAAGAAUCUUCCACAAUGGGCGAAAGCCUGAUGGAGCGACACCGCGUGCGGGAUGAAGGCUUUCGGGUCGUAAACCGCUUUUCUGGGGGAAGAAUUAUGACGGUACCCUAGGAAUAAGCACCGGCUAAUUACGUGCCAGCCGCCGCCGUAAAAC